GACGAACCGUGCAAACGUUGUUCGGAUUCACUGGGCUUAAAGGGCGCGUAGGCGGGCCAUCAAGUCAGGGGUGAAAUCUUUCGGCUCAACCGGAAAAGUGCCUUUGAUACUGGUGGUCUCGAGGGAGGUAGGGGCAUGCGGAACUUCCGGUGGAGCGGUGAAAUGCGUAGAUAUCGGAAGGAACGCCGGUGGCGAAGGCGGCGUGCUGGACCUCUUCUGACGCUGAGGCGCGAAAGCUAGGGGAG
rnacentral:rRNA from 1 species